AUUGAACGCUGGCGGCAGGCCUAACACAUGCAAGUCGAACGAGUGGCGGACGGGUGAGUAAUGUCUGGGAAACUGCCUGAUGGAGGGGGAUAACUACUGGAAACGGUAGCUAAUACCGCAUACCAUCGGAUGUGCCCAGAUGGGAUUAGCUAGUAGGUGGGGGAAAGGCUCACCUAGGCGACGAUCCCUAGCUGGUCUGAGAGGAUGACCAGCCAGACUGGAACUGAGACACGGUACAGACUCCUACGGGAGGCAGCAGUGGGGAAUAUUGCACAAGGGGCGCAAGCCGGAUGCAGCCAUGCCGCGUGUAUGAAGAAGGCCUUCGGGGUGUAAAGUACUUUCAGCGGGGAGGCGUUACCCGCAGAAGAAGCACCGGCUAACUCCGUGCCAGCAGCCGCGGUAAUUC
rnacentral:rRNA from 1 species